UUGACAGGCAACAAACCAUAAUUUUUUUUAUUUUUACUCUUUUUUUGAAUUGUUUUGUUGGAAGUUAUUUUGCCGGUUCAUAAAUCCUUUCAAAAAAAGGAAAGAAGAAAUUGUCAAUUUAGCACGUUGUUGUUGUAGUAGUAGCAGUGUGUGGUACACUGAGGCGGCAGCCCUUGCCGAUGAAGGAAUUCAUCGGGUCAAUCCGGUACAUACAACCGGCUGCCAUGGGCACGUGAUGUUAAUUAGCGAUACAAGCUGACCCAUAAUUUUUCCGAAAAAGGAUUUAGAUUUUGUGGGCUGGGGAGCUAUAAAUUACAAAUAUCAUAAUUACAAGUGUUAUUUUGAUUUAUUUUUGCAUAUAAUCAUCUGGAUUUAAGAAACAAGUGUAAACAUUUUUGCUUGUUAUUAAGAUAAAUUGGCCUUUUUGGUUCUGUAUAUUACAAGGAAUAAAUGAAAUGAAAUAAUAAUCUAUACUACCUUGGAGGCCUCCGCGGCACAGAA